UGAAAAUUAAUGAUUUUGAAUAAUAAAGAUUUGAAAAAAAAAUUAGUGUAUCAUCUAUCAUAAUUGUUUACUUUAAAUUAAUAAAAUAAAUUAAACAACUACAUUAACCAUAUAAUAAAAAUUUAAAUUUUUUUGUAUAUGUUAUAUUUUGAUUUUUUUUAAACGACUAUAAAUUACUAAAACUGUUGUUAAAAAUUCUACAUUCAAAUUUUUGCGAUCGUUUAAGGGUUACAGAGAUGUAGUUGCAAGGCAAAGGUCAACUAGGUUGCUUCGCUAGGUUGCUUCGCUAGGUUGCUUCGCUAGGGACUUAAGGAGAAGUUAUUUUCUGUAGCACAGAGAUGACUUUAGUAAGUUGCAAGGCGAAGGCCUCAACGAUUGUGGUUAAUCUAUCUUGGUAUCUUUGUGAUGAGGUAUGGCUUAUCUGUGCUGGGGUGUGCUUGGGGUCAAAUGCUAGGGUCAUGAUAAAAUAUAAAUGAUUACAAAAACAUAUAAGUAAAAAAUCUCAUUAAAUAAAUAUUAAGUGUAAAAGAUAUAUAUCAAAAUUAAACUAUAUACCAU
rnacentral:lncRNA from 1 species